AUAUCUCUCUGUACGGGAAGGAUGAGAAGCUUCUACCAGGGUUCGAUUCGAGCGCAGCGAGAAAGCGUUGCCGCAGGCAACGACCCGAAGGGCGAAGCGCGCAGCGCU
rnacentral:sRNA from 2 species